GCUUAACACAUGCAAGUCGAGCGAGAAUCGUUUAUUGAAGGCUUCGGCUGGAAAUAGAUGAGGAAAGCGGCGAACGGGUGAGUAACGCGUGGGCAACCUGGCCUUAAGAAAAGGAUAGCCCCCGGAAACGGGGAGUAAUACCUUAUGAAAAUGAGAGAGGGCAUCCUACUUUCAUUCAAAGCGCAAGCGCUUAAGGAUGGGCCCGCGUAUCAUUAGCUAGUUGGUGAGAUAACAGCCCACCAAGGCAACGAUGAUUAGCCGGUCUGGGAGGGCGACCGGCCACAUUGGAACUGAGAGACGGUCCAAACUCCUACGGGAGGCAGCAGUGGGGAAUAUUGCGCAAUGGAGAAGAACUCUGACGCAGCAAUACCGCGUGAGCGAAGAAGGUCUUCGGAUCGUAAAGCUCUGUUAUCAGGGAAGAAGAAAAUGACGGUACCUGAUGAGCAAGUCCCGGCUAACUACGUGCCAGCAGCCGCCGUAA
rnacentral:rRNA from 1 species